AGUGAACGCUGGCGGUAGGCCUAACACAUGCAAGUCGAACGGCAGCACAGUAAGAGCUUGCUCUUACGGGUGGCGAGUGGCGGACGGGUGAGGAAUACAUCGGAAUCUACUUUUUCGUGGGGGAUAACGUAGGGAAACUUACGCUAAUACCGCAUAUGACCUACGGGUGAAAGCAGGGGAUCUUCGGACCUUGCGCGAUUGAAUGAGCCGAUGUCGGAUUAGCUAGUUGGCGGGGUAAAGGCCCACCAAGGCGACGAUCCGUAGCUGGUCUGAGAGGAUGAUCAGCCACACUGGAACUGAGACACGGUCCAGACUCCUACGGGAGGCAGCAGUGGGGAAUAUUGGACAAUGGGCGCAAGCCUGAUCCAGCCAUACCGCGUGGGUGAAGAAGGCCUUCGGGUUGUAAAGCCCUUUUGUUAGGAAAGAAAAGCAGCAGGUUAAUACCCCGCUGUUCUGACGGUACCCAAAGAAUAAGCACCGGCUAACUUCGUG
rnacentral:rRNA from 1 species